rnacentral:rRNA from 1 species
GACGAACGCUGGCGGCGUGCCUAAUACAUGCAAGUCGAACGCUGAAGGAGGAGCUUGCUUCUCUGGAUGAGUUGCGAACGGGUGAGUAACGCGUAGGUAACCUGCCUGGUAGCGGGGGAUAACUAUUGGAAACGAUAGCUAAUACCGCAUAAUAGUAGAUGUUGCAUGACAUUUGCUUAAAAGGUGCAAUUGCAUCACUACCAGAUGGACCUGCGUUGUAUUAGCUAGUUGGUGAGGUAACGGCUCACCAAGGCGACGAUACAUAGCCGACCUGAGAGGGUGAUUGGCCACACUGGGACUGAGACACGGCCCAGACUCCUUAGGGAGGCAGCAGUAGGGAAUCUUCGGCAAUGGACGGAAGGCUGACCGAGCAACGCCGCGGGAGGGAAGAAGGGUUUCGGAUCGUAAAGCUCUGUUGUAAGAGAAGAACGAGUGUGAGAGUGGAAAGUUCACACUGUGACGGUAGCUUACCAGAAAGGGACGGCUAACUACGUG